AGCUCAUUCUCCUGCUGGCUCUCGCCGCCGUUGCUGCGGCGGAUUCUCAACCUUCGUCCAUAUACGGAAUCCCUCGGGAAUCAGAUAGUUCUUCCGAAACGUCAUCAGAAAGUCGUACCAUCUACCGUCAUUACGAUAGAUCUGAUGAAGAUUCUGCUGAAUAUGGACCUGCAAAGUACGACUUCGACUGGGCCGUGAAGCACGACUACUCAGGCAACCACUUCGGCCACCAGGAGUCCCGCGACGGAGACUACACCCAAGGCUCGUACUACGUGCAGCUUCCCGACACUCGCCUGCAGACUGUCAAGUACUACGUGGACGGCGACUCUGGCUACGUGGCCGAGGUGGAGUACGAGGGCGAGGCUCAGCAUCCUGAUUCCGAGGAGUAUCGAGUGUCUCGAGGCCGAUACUCAGCCCCAGACUCAGGCGAGGACUCGUCCGAAACGGUUGUUCGAGCUCCCUCAAGAUUUUAUGGCUCACCUUUGUAAAGCUAAGACGAACAGGAUGGAACUCGUUUCGACAACCGUGAUUUCAUAUGGAUUCCAUAUAAAUUCUACUUAUUUAUAUAUUUAAUUGUAGU